CGCUGUACUCAAUGUAGGAGCUGCCGAAGGCUGCGAUCUUUUGAUUUUGUUUUUAGAAGAUAAAGUCAAAAGAUCGCAGCCUUCGGCAGCUCCUACAUGUGUG
rnacentral:misc_RNA from 1 species